GAUGAACGCUGGCGGCGUGCCUAAUACAUGCAAGUCGAGCGAACAGACGAGGAGCUUGCUCCUCUGACGUUAGCGGCGGACGGGUGAGUAACACGUGGAUAACCUACCUAUAAGACUGGGAUAACUUCGGGAAACCGGAGCUAAUACCGGAUAAUAUAUUGAACCGCAUGGUUCAAUAGUGAAAGACGGUUUUGCUGUCACUUAUAGAUGGAUCCGCGCCGCAUUAGCUAGUUGGUAAGGUAACGGCUUACCAAGGCGACGAUGCGUAGCCGACCUGAGAGGGUGAUCGGCCACACUGGUACUGAGACACGGUCCAGACUCCUACGGGAGGCAGCAGUAGGGAAUCUUCCGCAAUGGGCGAAAGCUUGACGGAGCAACGCCGCGUGAGUGAUGAAGGUCUUCGGAUCGUAAAACUCUGUUAUUAGGGAAGAACAAAUGUGUAAGUAACUAUGCACGUCUUGACGGUACCUAAUCAGAAAGCCACGGCUAACUACGUG
rnacentral:rRNA from 1 species